GUAAUUAGCAAGGGCAAAUUUUCUUCCUGCUUUCUUUCAUAGUUUUCUGUAGGUGAAAAGAUUUCUCCUCUCUCAGCUGUUUUUAUUUCCCAUCAGAAAUAAACCCCUUUUGCUCCCCUACCUUAAGUCUCAUAGGUUCAAGUUAGGUAGUUAGGACAAGAUUAUUGCAAACUAAGUAUGAGGGCAAAGAGUAAAGAGGAACCCUGAGCCUAAGAAACUCAGGCUCAUCGAAAUAACUAAGAAUCUAGUAAAUGGAAAGAAUAAAGUGCUCUGAUGUAACACUCAGGAAAAGCUGAGCGAGAGUUGGCACAGCAUAAGUACUACUCCAUGAACGUUAGUUCUUUUUAAUGUUAUGCCAGGUGCUCAUCCUGCCUUUCCAACCACUCUAGGACCUCAAGACCUUGGAUUCUGCUAGCUGCUAAUACUCAAGAUGUUUCACACUAAAUUCAUUAUCUUCUACAGUGAAGCUUCUCGUGUGCUGGCAGGUGGUGGAAUCGGGAUUUGAACUCAGAUUGUCACAGAACAAGAAACUCGCCUAACCAAACAUAAUGGAGGCACCAGAACUCUGCUCACAUUAUUGGGGAGCAUCAGCUCGCCUGCCAUGGGGUGUGAACAGUCAUGCAGAAAAAAAGAAAACAUAAAGGUGGUGAGAGACUCCAAAGGAAAGAGCAAACUGUCUUCAACGGCACUUCUAAGAACUGCUUCCUCCUCAGGUUUGUCUGUGUUCUGGUUUGUAUGUUGCAGGACCAAGAAGAUAAGAAGAAGAGGCUAUCUGUGCAGUGUUGCAACUGGAGUCUUUCAUCUUCAUGAGAAUUUGGGAGGAGAGAGAACACCUUAGAACCCAGAAUAUUCACUAACCAUCUCAGCAGCUCCAAGCAACUGUUCACAGAAACUUCCUCUAACCUGGCCAGCAUCCACCUAAACCCAGUUGUUUUAUCUCCCCUCCCCUCACCAACUUCUGGGAUCACUUACAUUUAAAAUAGAUGAUAUUUUACAGUAAUAAAAUAGCUGGCAUUUGAUAGUGG
rnacentral:lncRNA from 1 species